GACGAACGCUGGCGGCGUGCUUAACACAUGCAAGUCGAACGGAAAGGCCCUGCUUUUGUGGGGUGCUCGAGUGGCGAACGGGUGAGUAACACGUGAGUAACCUGCCCUUGACUUUGGGAUAACUUCAGGAAACUGGGGCUAAUACCGGAUAGGAGCUCCUGCUGCAUGGUGGGGGUUGGAAAGUUUCGGCGGUUGGGGAUGGACUCGCGGCUUAUCAGCUUGUUGGUGGGGUAGUGGCUUACCAAGGCUUUGACGGGUAGCCGGCCUGAGAGGGUGACCGGGCAAAUUGGGAAUGAGAAAAGGGCCAGAACCCUAAGGGAGGAAGCAGUGGGGAAUAUUGCAAAAUGGGGGGAAGCCUGAAGCAGCAAAGCCGCGGGGGGGAUGAAGGCCUUUGGGGUGGAAAACCGUUUUGCCCGGGACGAAGGGUGAGUGACGGUAAAGGGGAAAGAAGCCACGGCUAACUACGUG
rnacentral:rRNA from 1 species